rnacentral:misc_RNA from 1 species
AACGCAAAUUGCACUCCCUGGUAUUCCGGGGAGUAUGCCUGUUUGAGGGUCGUUAGAAUAAAAAUCGAGGCGUCGCUCUUUUUUUUAAGGGUGAUCGCGUCGGAAUUGAGCCGUCUUUCAAAUGUUAAUUCAUGUCAAAGUGGCUUAAAAUUCAUCCAUCCGGUACGAUUAAAGCGUAUUUAAGAUCAAUUUUGAUUAAGAACGCGCGAUGACGGACCAUCUCAUGUAGUACGUCUGACCUGGCGUCGUCAGGAUCAUUCGUAUACGAUACUCAAACUUUUGACCUCAAAUCAGGUAAGAAUACCCGCUGAACUUAA